rnacentral:tRNA from 2 species
GGGCCCGUAGCUCAGUGGUGGAGCGCCGGCCUUAUAAGCCGGAGGUCGGGGGUUCGAUUCCCCCCGGGCCCA